CCCAAACACUAAGACACUGGGUGCCACUAAAAUGAGCAGGUAAUUGGACUUAUUCAUCACUGAAAAUAAGGCACCCAGCAAUCUUUUCAUGCACAGCCAUCCAUGGUUUUCCUCCCAUCUGCAUGGUCUCCAGCUUACAUGGUGGCUAUCAACUCCGUUGACUUGAACAGAUAAAGCUCAGCGCAGGAACUUUUGGCUCCAUGUCACAUUGCCCUCACAGCCUGACAGGACCUUGGACUCACUUGGAGACAAGUCUUGUCUCUGGACAUCUCUGUGGAAGAUUUUACAGAUUAGGUUAACUGAAGCAGGAAGACGCACCCUGAGUUCAGACGUCACCAUUUCUUUAACUCGGGCUCCAGGAUGAAGAGAAGGAGCAAGCAAGCCGAGCACAGCCAUUCAUGCUAUCUUCUUCAGGACCUUAGACCCAAUAGGACCAGCUGGGCAGGAGAAGCAGAGGGAAGGGAGAUGCUGAGGUCAGGAGAAGGAAAACAUUCUGGAUUGAUGGAUCAACAGAUGCAACUCUUCCUACAUCUCAGGAAAGAAGAUGUGUCCGCAGAAGUAGAACUUCAACAGAUUAUAUCCUAUUCCUGACACAAUUGUAGCUUGCUUUCUUUCGACUGGAAAAUCUGUGGACAAAUGUUCCACUGUUCCCAAACCUACACCUUAAGUGUGUGGUGAUCCCAGUCCUGUUCUGGGAAUAAAACCAGUUCUUAACAAAAAUGCCCUGGAAUUCAAGAGCAAGUGUAGAAUUUUACAUCACACACUUUUCUGCUCAUGCCACUGAAAGGUCAUGUGACAUUGGAAAUAAAAAUAAAUCUGAAUUUAACUUGA